rnacentral:rRNA from 1 species
CGACCGGCGCACGGGUGGGUAACACGUAUCCAACCUGCCGUCUACUCUUGGCCAGCCUUCUGAAAGGAAGAUUAAUCCAGGAUGGGAUCAUGAGUUCACAUGUCCGCAUGAUUAAAGGUAUUUUCCGGUAGACGAUGGGGAUGCGUUCCAUUAGAUAGUAGGCGGGGUAACGGCCCACCUAGUCAACGAUGGAUAGGGGUUCUGAGAGGAAGGUCCCCCACAUUGGAACUGAGACACGGUCCAA